AAGUCGUAACAAGGUUUCCGUAGGUGAACCUGCGGAAGGAUCAUUACCAAUUUCAACGUCCAUUUAUGGACUUGAAAACCCCCACCCUUGUUUAUUCAACCUUUGUUGCCUCGGCGGGUUCGCCCGCCAGAGGACCCUUCUAAACUCUUGUUGUAAACGGCGUUUGUCUGAGCUACAAAGCAAUUGUUUAAAACUUUCAACAACGGAUCUCUUGGUUCUG
rnacentral:misc_RNA from 1 species